rnacentral:lncRNA from 1 species
GUACGAAUGUAGAUUUAUUUUUUUAAAAAAAAAAAGCAAAGCUUUCUGCCAGACUGAGGGUGCUUUUUGGGGGGUGGGAGUAAUGAACUGACAGAUAAACAGUAACUCAGUAUAAGUCGACCUGUGGAUCAUCAGUAGAACCUAAGAAUGGUCCUGAACAGGAUGUUAGCAAAGUUUUAGUUGAUCUCAAUCCUUGAUGGGAGAGAGGGAGGAGUAAAGCUGGGCAAGCAAGCAAAGAGCCCUGGAUCAUUGAAUUGAUGCUUUAAUUUCUGCUGUUGGCUGUUCAUAAUUUGGAUUAUUUAUGUU